GGUUGCAGGGAGCCAAGGGGGCAGGACAGAUAUAGGAGUCCUCAGCGAGUGCCCUUCUUGCUGAGUUUUGACAAGGACAUCUUUCUCGGAGACUGCGGCAACAACCUGAUCAGAGUCUAAAAAGUGCUAAAGUAAUUGAAAUCAACUGAGACCUCUCUCAUCCAAAUGACCUGAAGUCCUGCACAUCAAAAAACAUCAUGAAUAAGAUGGGCCAACUCUGCCGUCCUUUGUCCCCUGGACCAAUUCUGUGUAUUCUUUGCUGGUCUGCAUCACUGUAUCUGAUUUGAAAUCUAGAGCUGCUAUUGAAACUAUUUUGGUGAUUCAGAAGGCCCCACAAUGAUGGGCAGCUGGGGAUUGGCACUUUCAUCAGACAACAUGCCCGCUCAUGCUUCACGUCUGGUGCAGAGUCUUUUGGCGAAACAUAAAUCACCCAGGAAGCAAGUCACAACUACUGCCCACACUCAAGGAGACAGGAUUAUACAAGGUCAUGAACACCAGGAAUCAUGGAUCAUGGGAAUCAUCUUAAAAUCUGCCCUCCAAAAGAGUUUCAAUAUCUCUGAAAUCAGGAUGCAUCUUACAGGCAAGAUCAUGUUA